UUUUAUGGAGAGUUUGAUCCUGGCUCAGGAUGAACGCUGGCGGCGUGCCUAAUACAUGCAAGUCGAGCGAACGGACGAGAAGCUUGCUUCUCUGAUGUUAGCGGCGGACGGGUGAGUAACACGUGGAUAACCUACCUAUAAGACUGGGAUAACUUCGGGAAACCGGAGCUAAUACCGGAUAAUAUUUUGAACCGCAUGGUUCAAAAGUAAAAGACGGUCUUGCUGUCACUUAUAGAUGGAUCCGCGCUGCAUUAGCUAGUUGGUAAGGUAACGGCUUACCAAGGCAACGAUGCAUAGCCGACCUGAGAGGGUGAUCGGCCACACUGGAACUGAGACACGGUCCAGACUCCUACGGGAGGCAGCAGUAGGGAAUCUUCCGCAAUGGGCGAAAGCCUGACGGAGCAACGCCGCGUGAGUGAUGAAGGUCUUCGGAUCGUAAAACUCUGUUAUUAGGGAAGAACAUAUGUGUAAGUAACUGUGCACAUCUUGACGGUACCUAAUCAGAAAGCCACGGCUAACUACGUGCCAGCAGCCGCGGUAAUACGUAGGUGGCAAGUGUUAUCCGGAAUUAUUGGGCGUAAAGCGCGCGUAGGCGGUUUUUUAAGUCUGAUGUGAAAGCCCACGGCUCAACCGUGGAGGGUCAUUGGAAACUGGAAAACUUGAGUGCAGAAGAGGAAAGUGGAAUUCCAUGUGUAGCGGUGAAAUGCGCAGAGAUAUGGAGGAACACCAGUGGCGAAGGCGACUUUCUGGUCUGUAACUGACGCUGAUGUGCGAAAGCGUGGGGAUCAAACAGGAUUAGAUACCCUGGUAGUCCACGCCGUAAACGAUGAGUGCUAAGUGUUAGGGGGUUUCCGCCCCUUAGUGCUGCAGCUAACGCAUUAAGCACUCCGCCUGGGGAGUACGACCGCAAGGUUGAAACUCAAAGGAAUUGACGGGGACCCGCACAAGCGGUGGAGCAUGUGGUUUAAUUCGAAGCAACGCGAAGAACCUUACCAAAUCUUGACAUCCUUUGACAACUCUAGAGAUAGAGCCUUCCCCUUCGGGGGACAAAGUGACAGGUGGUGCAUGGUUGUCGUCAGCUCGUGUCGUGAGAUGUUGGGUUAAGUCCCGCAACGAGCGCAACCCUUAAGCUUAGUUGCCAUCAUUAAGUUGGGCACUCUAAGUUGACUGCCGGUGACAAACCGGAGGAAGGUGGGGAUGACGUCAAAUCAUCAUGCCCCUUAUGAUUUGGGCUACACACGUGCUACAAUGGACAAUACAAAGGGCAGCGAAACCGCGAGGUCAAGCAAAUCCCAUAAAGUUGUUCUCAGUUCGGAUUGUAGUCUGCAACUCGACUACAUGAAGCUGGAAUCGCUAGUAAUCGUAGAUCAGCAUGCUACGGUGAAUACGUUCCCGGGUCUUGUACACACCGCCCGUCACACCACGAGAGUUUGUAACACCCGAAGCCGGUGGAGUAACCUUUUAGGAGCUAGCCGUCGAAGGUGGGACAAAUGAUUGGGGUGAAGUCGUAACAAGGUAGCCGUAUCGGAAGG
rnacentral:rRNA from 1 species